rnacentral:rRNA from 1 species
UACGGAGGGGGCUAGCGUUGUUCGGAAUUACUGGGCGUAAAGCGCACGUAGGCGGCUUUGCAAGUUAGAGGUGAAAGCCCGGAGCUCAACUCCGGAAUUGCCUUUAAAACUGCAUCGCUAGAAUUGUGGAGAGGUGAGUGGAAUUCCGAGCGUAGAGGUGAAAUUCGUAGAUAUUCGGAAAAACACCAGUGGCGAAGGCGACUCACUGGACACAUAUUGACGCUGAGGUGCGAAAGCGUGGGGAGCAAACAGG